GACAGAGGGUGCAAACGUUGUUCGGAAUUACUGGGCGUAAAGCGUGUGUAGGCGGCCCUAUAAGUCGGAUGUGAAAGCCCUGGGCUCAACCCAGGAAGUGCACUCGAUACUGUAGGGCUCGAGUACUGGAGAGGUUGGUGGAAUUCUCGGUGUAGAGGUGAAAUUCGUAGAUAUCGAGAGGAACACCGAUUGCGAAGGCAGCUGACUGGACCUGUAUUGACGCUGAGGCACGAAAGCGUGGGGAGCGAACAGG
rnacentral:rRNA from 1 species